rnacentral:rRNA from 1 species
AUUGAACGCUGGCGGCAGGCCUAACACAUGCAAGUCGAACGAGUGGCGGACGGGUGAGUAAUGUGUGGGAAACUGCCUGAUGGAGGGGGAUAACUACUGGAAACGGUAGCUAAUACCGCAUACCAUCAGAUGUGCCCAGAUGGGAUUAGGUUGUUGGUGGGGUAACGGCUCACCAAGGCGACGAUCCCUAGCUGGUUUGAGAGGAUGACCAGCCACAUUGGAACUGAGACACGGCCCAGACUCCUACGUGAGGCAGCAGUGGGGAAUAUUGCCCAAUGGGCGCAAUCCUACUGCAGCCAGGCCGCGGGUAUGAAGCAGGCCUUCGGGUUGUAAAGUACUUUCAGCGGGGAGGCGUUACCCGCAUAAGAAGCAACGGCUAACUCCGUGCCAGCAGCCGCGGUAAUUC